GACAGAACGCUGUAGAGAGGACACUACAGGAGACAGAACGCUGUAGAGAGGACACUACAGGAGACAGAACGCUGUAUAGAGGACACUACAGGAGACAGAACGCUGUAGAGAGGACACUACAGGAGACAGAACGCUGUAGAGAGGACACUACAGGAGGCAGAACGCUGUAGAGAGGACACUACAGGAGACAGAACGCUGUAGAGAGGACACUACAGGAGACAGAACGCUGUAGAGAGGACACUACAGGAGGCAGAACGCUGUAGAGAGGACACUACAGGAGACAGAACGCUGUAGAGAGGACACUGCAGGAGACAGAACGCUGUAGAGAGGACACUACAGGAGACAGAACGCUGUAGAGAGGACACUACAGGAGACAGAACGCUGUAGAGAGGACACUACAGGAGACAGAACGCUGUAGAGAGGACACUACAGGAGACUGAACGCUGUAGAGAGGACACUACAGGAG
rnacentral:lncRNA from 1 species